rnacentral:rRNA from 1 species
GAUGAACGCUGGCGGCGUGCCUAAUACAUGCAAGUCGAGCGAACGGACGAGAAGCUUGCUUCUCUGCUGUUAGCGGCGGACGGGUGAGUAACACGUGGAUAACCUACCUAUAAGACUGGGAUAACUUCGGGAAACCGGAUCUAAUACCGGAUAAUAUUUUGAACCGCAUGGUUCAAAAGUGAAAGACGGUCUUGCUGUCACUUAUAGAUGGAUCCGCGCUGCAUUAGCUAGUUGGUAAGGUAACGGCUUACCAAGGCAACGAUGCAUAGCCGACCUGAGAGGAUGAUCGGCCACACUGGAACUGAGACACGGUCCAGACUCCUACGGGAGGCAGCAGUAGGGAAUCUUCGGCAAUGGGCGAAAGCCUGACGGAGCAACGCCGCGUGAGUGAUGAAGGUCUUCGGAUCGUAAAACUCUGUUAUUAGGGAAGAACAUAUGUGUAAGUAACUGUGCACAUCUUGACGGUACCUAAUCAGAAAGCCACGGCUAACUACGUG